UGAAACAUAGAAAGCUUUAUAAACAUCUACAUUACCCGUUCUGCCUUUUUGUCGGAUUUACUUAUUCUGUUUGGUUCUUCUUUUUUUCCCAACAGCGCACCCAAAAUGCCAAGCAAGAGGAAGAAGAACAAGCGUCGCAUGAGGAGGGUGCAAGCCCAAAGGAGAGCACUGGAGGAGCAGCAUGCAGCAAAUCCACCAAUCAAAACCAGCUCAGGGACUGCAGUUAGGCCACCUCCUAUAACAAAUCUCAAAAAAGCAGCUAAACCCACAGCUAAAACUGCACCGCCCAAUCGUGAAAACCUUCCACAGGCUGUUCCCAUCUCUAUCCCCUUAGUGGAACCUCAAAAAGAGGAACCAGAGCCUGUUGAGAAAGAAGAUGCCGCAGAGGUCCAUGAUGAGAUAGCUACAGUAGAGUCUGGUGGUGUGCUGUUGGAACAAGCUUCCUGUGAGUUGGAUGUGGAAUCCAGAGUGGGGGAUGAAGUUGUAGAUUCAGCACAUGUCAGUAAAGAUGGCCCAGUUGAAAGUAGUCCUCCAGUGAAGCCCUCUACAGUUGAAGAUGAUCUGGCACAGGAAGCUGAAUCUUCUGUUUCUGAAUCAGAAGCUGUCUUUGAGGUUGCAGCCCCAGAAGAAGCUCCAGCAGAGGUUGCUUCUGAAGCUGAAAAUCAGACAGAAUGCAAUGAAAUAAUACAAAAAGAGACAGAUCAUACAUAUGAAAUCUGUGAGGCAGACAGUGAAAAGGCUGAAACCCUGGCAGAAGAAGACGCUGAGGCUAAGCUGGAACUGGAGGGGGCCAUCACUGAAGAAGUCAGCAUAUCAGAGUCUGCAAAAGAAGCAGCUGAAGAUAGAGAGGUAGAAGAUCUUACCAGUGACAAAUCUCCUGCUGAAGAUACUGGAUCAGUGGAGGAGGCGGUCAUAGAAACAGUGGAGGCUGAAAAUGGGGUAGAGGUUGGUCCGUUGGAGCUGCCUGAGGAGGGAGAGGAGAAAGUGGAAGAUGUGGCUGAAGAAGACUUGGCUGCACUCAGUGUUGAGCCUGUUACAGCAGCAGAGGAUGUUCCCGUAUCAUCAUUGGAAAUCCCAACAGUGCUGAAUGCUAUAACUGAAAGUCCAAUGGAUGAAGCUGAUCUCCCUUUUGUUGAAGCCAAAGAGGAAGCUGCUGACCUGCCGGUCCAUGAAUCUGUUGUCACUGAAUCUGUCUCUGCAGUGAAUGAUGCUGUUUCAUCCUCUCCAAUUGUCCAGCUGGAAACUGAGAGAACAGGGGACACAUUUACCACCCAAAUAGAGUCCUCUGAUUCUGCUACUGCUGCUGCUGCACAUGCUGAGGCUCCUGCUGCUCCUACAGAGGAGAAUGCCGCAAACCAGUCGUGUUUAGAUGUGUUGACAGACGAAGUGAAAUCAGGAGAUUUCCCAUGUCAGAUACAGAUUCCUGUGGAGGCUAAACAACUCAAUGCAGUGGAACUUUCUGUGGAAAUAGCACAGAAUGGAAACGUUGUUCCUGAGGUCCCCAUUGAGGGUUAGAGCCUAGAACCACAGCUCAGAAGACCCUUUUCUAUGUGUAAGACACUCAAAGUUCCUGUUGAAGAACUCAAAGCUUCCCAGGGAAUUUACCAGACCUUUUCAUUUUUCAAGGCUUAGGGCAAAACGACAGGAAAUCGAAGUGGGCAUCCACACUUUGAAGUGCCUUUUCCUGUCCUCUGCUCUGCUGGAACAUUAAACCAGAUGUGACUAUGGAGAAACGGCUGCUCUCACGACAGCGGCUAAGACUUUAAAACAAGCCUUUUUUUUGGCUCUUUUUAAUAUUUUCCUACACAAUAAACCCCAUGUUCAAUAAGUUUGACUAAAGUAGUUCAGGAAAAGGUGCUAAAGACACGACGAUUCAGCAACAACACAAAUCUUCUUUUAUCUUCCUAGAAUAUCUGUCUCCAAAGUGCACACACAAAUCUUUUUUUAGUAGACAUAACUCUGGAAAAUGGGUCUGUAUUUUAAAUUAGAUUUUUGUCUGUUAGACAGCAAGGUCUUGUGUUGUUUUUCGGCAUUUGUUUAAGCGUAACAUAUUUAGCUCGCCACUCUUUUUAGAAAAGGUACAAACCUCAGAUAACUUUUCAAAGGCAGUUCAGGGGUUCUGUUUUGGAGUGAAGUACUAUCUAAAAGGUUGUAACUAGCUAAUAAUUUAAAUGCUGUGGGCUAGGUGUUGAUUUUGGCAUCCAGGAAAUCUGGUCUUCAGGCCUAAAACUAAUAUUGUAAAACCAAAGCUGACUUUUAUUAUCUUAAAAUGAUCCCCUCUUGAAAAUAUAGAGGUUAAUUAAAAACAUAACUGUCAUGCAUUAUUGUCAAAGGACUAAUGAAAAAAAAAUCUCUCUCACCCAGUACUGUAUAACCUUUAACCCCACACUGAUCGCCGGGCGCCGCACUAUGGCAGCCCACUGCUCCCCAAGAGGAUGGGUUAAAUGCAGAGUGUGAAUUUCCCCAUUGUGGGGCAAUAAAGGGAUUUAAUUUUAUUUUUUUUUUUUAUCGUAGAUAUUAUUUUGCUGCUGUGCAUUUAAUUUUAUCUUCAAACACUUUUUAUGAUAACUGGACAGCACCGCUGCUGUUGUAAAAUAAGGUGACCAGAUUUUUUGAAAUCCAAUCCAGGGACAUUUCCAGCUAACAAUAAAUGCAUAUCAUGAAAAUUGAAAUAGGAAACGGAGGACAGUGAUGCUUUCAUCCAUUUUUGCAUAUUAAUAUUUAAACAACAAAAAUCAAGUGUAAAAUCCAGGAAUAUGUAUCUCCUAUUUCCUAAGGUUAAUAAGAUUAACCAAUCAAUAGUGUUUAUUAGUUCCACCUGCUCAUUCCGUCUUCUUCCCUCUCCUUCUUUUCUUUCUAGCUGACUUCUACCUGCUUUCCUUUAUACUAUUCUAAGUAGAUUUUUCUCCCUUCUCUUCAACUGUUCUUUCCAUCUGCUUCCCUUUUUCCUCCGCUUUCAUUUAAUCUUCUGUCUUCUUCCUCUCCUCUUCUAUCAAUCUUACACUGAUCUAAAACAGAAACAUCAGUUUCUGCAUGCUUGUACUCUCUUUCUACCGUAUUAAUUGUCUACACACAUCAUUUCCCCUGUCAUUCAUUACAAGGUUAAUUUGGGGACAGCUUUAGCCGGGGACAGGUGGUCAAAAACUGGUUCUGUCCCUGAAAAUCAGGGAUGUCUGGUCACCGUAUUGUAAAAGCCUUUCCCUUUCUUUCUACUGAAGCAUCUAAACUUCCCCACUUUUCAGAUAGUAAAGGAUUGUAUUAUUGUCCAAUAGAAUAAAUAAAACUUUUAAAGCAGGGUAACGUCCUGAUAGAGUUUAAAAUCAAAGCUGAUCAUUCGUUUAGUGCCACUUCAUUUUUAGAGGUUUUACUUUGACUGGAAUGUUUAACAUUUUGUUCUCAGUCAUGAUUUCAUCAUAAGAUUAAGAUAGCAAGAAAAUAAUGUUGCUGAUAAAACUACAGCAGUUAAAAUACGCAUAAAUAAAUCCUUUUCGACACAGUGCUCUCCACCUCAAUUUCCUGCAAAUAAUAAUCACCCAGUUAGGAUGAAAUAUUAAUGCUAAAUAUGUUGAUGAUUUAAAGGUUCAUAGAAUAAUGUUUAGAUUAAUUACCAAGCUGCGGUAGCUCUCCCUGCCCCUUCGCCACUAUCAGGCUAAACUCUGGAAAUAGAAAAUCUAGAUUUAUGCUAAAUGAAGAUGCCAAAAGUAACAUACCUCAGCAGCUGUCUACAACAUUUAAGAGAACUUCCCUUAAUAACAAAACAAAACCCCAAUGUUCACUGUCCAAAGAUUAGCUUUAGCAUCAUGAUUAGCUUUAGCAUCAUGCUAACUUUACCAUUAGCACAAUGGUAAAGUUAGCAUGAUGCUAAAGCUAAUCUGUGAAGAGAACUUUGACAACACAAGCCUUGAAAAGCCCAUUUUUUUCUGUUUCUGUUCCCACCUUUAUUCAAAAUUUAUUGUGUUUUCAAAGUAAAAGUUAUGAGUUAUUGAUGGGUUGUCUUGACAUGUGAAAUAAAAUCAUAAUUCAAUGACGAA